rnacentral:ncRNA from 1 species
GAAUUGAAGAGUUUGAUCAUGGCUCAGAUUGAACGCUGGCGGCAGGCUUAACACAUGCAAGUCGAACGGUAGCAGGAGAAAGCUUGCUUUCUUGCUGACGAGUGGCGGACGGGUGAGUAAUGCUUGGGAAUCUGGCUUAUGGAGGGGGAUAACUACUGGAAACGGUAGCUAAUACCGCGUAAUAUCUUCGGAUUAAAGGGUGGGACCUUUUGGCCACCUGCCAUAAG